rnacentral:lncRNA from 12 species
UAGUCAUGUUCUCUUCCAGUAAUAAUUAGCAAGUGUAUUUAUAUAUAUCACUCAGGAAAUGCUCUUUUGAUUUUUAUAUUUCUAGUAAGACUUUACAUCAUAGCCCAUUAAAAGCCAUGUUUUUGUCAUCCUUACAAGUGUGCUAAGAAAACAAUGGGAUGACCAGGUCUUAAGAGUUAGCUGGAAGGUGACAUAAUCUAGUGAAUUAAGAACAUGAUAUCAAAUGUUUUAAAAAAAAUUCUAAAUACACAGUGAGAAUCAUCAUAGGUCAGAAAGACCCUUUGAAAAGUUAUCUGAUGCACCCACACUCCUCUAUCCUGGAAGUCAAGCACGCCUUUGAAUCAUGUUAGAUAGAUAAAGGUCUAUGUUAAGUGUACAAAGGGGAGAAGAUUCUAUCGGAAUCUUCUAAGGGAAAAGAUUCAAAAGAUCUUUCUGGCAACCAACUCCGAAGAAGAGGAACCUUCCAUUUCCUCCACAUUUUUCAAGCUUAAGCCUCUCGUGUUGAAGCUAACAUCGAGUUACCUAAAUAUAUGCUCAAGUUCAGAGAACUGAAGGAAGUCCAGGAUCAUUGGACCCUUAGAACACACAGAAAGAAGAGAACGGCAAUGAUGGGACACAGAUAAGAUCAAAGAGAGACGCUGAGGCCACAGGAAAGAUUUUAAACUUUAUCUUAAGGGUAAUGAUCCAGUGAUGAAUAAUGCAAUAUGAGAAGCUACCCACAGCCCUGGCUUUCAAGUUUGUUCCAGUCAUCACUGUUUUCCAACCAGCAGAAAAGAAACAGAAAGGACAUCUAAUGUGGCACCACUUCUACUCACAUUUCAUUGGAUCAGACUUUACCACUUGGCCACAACUUGCUUCAAGAUGGGACCCCGCCUGGCCUUCUAAGACCCACAAGAAUCAGAAACAGAUGAGGAAUCAUGCCCUAUUCUCACACAUGAGAACCACUGACCCACUGAAAUCUCAUAAGACUCUGGAAAUAAAAGAAAAGUCAACCUGCUCUUACAACAAAUCAUAA